GAGGAGCUUGCUCCUCUGAUUUAGCGGCGGACGGGUGAGUAACACGUGGGUAAUCUGCCUGUAAGACGGGGAUAACUCCGGGAAACCGGGGCUAAUACCGGAUAAUAAGAGAAGAAGCAUUUCUUCUUUUUGAAAGUCGGUUUCGGCUGACACUUACAGAUGAGCCCGCGGCGCAUUAGCUAGUUGGUGAGGUAACGGCUCACCAAGGCGACGAUGCGUAGCCGACCUGAGAGGGUGAUCGGCCACACUGGGACUGAGACACGGCCCAGACUCCUACGGGAGGCAGCAGUAGGGAAUCUUCGGCAAUGGGCGAAAGCCUGACCGAGCAACGCCGCGUGAGCGAUGAAGGCCUUCGGGUCGUAAAGCUCUGUUGUUAGAGAAGAACAAGUACGAGAGUAACUGCUCGUACCUUGACGGUACCUAACCAGAAAGCCACGGCUAACUACGUGCCAGCAGCCGCGGUAAUACGUAGGUGGCAAGCGUUAUCCGGAAUUAUUGGGCGUAAAGCGCGCGCAGGCGGUCUCUUAAGUCUGAUGUGAAAGCCCACGGCUCAACCGUGGAGGGUCAUUGGAAACUGGGAGACUUGAGUGCAGGAGAGAAAAGUGGAAUUCCACGUGUAGCGGUGAAAUGCGUAGAGAUGUGGAGGAACACCAGUGGCGAAGGCGGCUUUUUGGCCUGUAACUGACGCUGAGGCGCGAAAGCGUGGGGAGCAAACAGGAUUAGAUACCCUGGUAGUCCACGCCGUAAACGAUGAGUGCUAGGUGUUGGGGGGGUUCCACCCUCAGUGCUGAAGUUAACACAUUAAGCACUCCGCCUGGGGAGUACGACCGCAAGGUUGAAACUCAAAGGAAUUGACGGGGGCCCGCACAAGCAGUGGA
rnacentral:rRNA from 1 species